rnacentral:misc_RNA from 1 species
CUGCAUUGGCUGAGGCGGACCAGCCUGAUUCAACCCUGCAGAACCAAGAGCACCCAAAAGGUUGGUUAAGCCCGCACCCGCCCCCGGGGCACUAAGCAGAGCUGUGAGUGCCUGCCCCAGUGCUGGAUUCAUCCCUCCGACAGCAGCAGCAGGCGGUGCAGGCUGGUUGUAUCCUAACCCAGCUGGUGAUGGAGCCAACAAAUGCCCACCAGCUCCUGCGGCAGGCAUUCUACCACCAGCCCCACCAUUCCUCACAAAUGGG